rnacentral:tRNA from 1 species
AGCGGGUAUAGUUUAGUGGUAAAAGUGUGAUUCGUUCCGUUAGGAAUUGGCAUAGGUGAG